rnacentral:rRNA from 1 species
CGAGUGGCGAACGGGUGAGUAACACGUGGGUGAUCUGCCCUGCACUUUGGGAUAAGCCUGGGAAACUGGGUCUAAUACCGAAUAGGACCGCAUGCUUCAUGGUGUGUGGUGGAAAGCUUUUGCGGUGUGGGAUGGGCCCGCGGCCUAUCAGCUUGUUGGUGGGGUAAUGGCCUACCAAGGCGACGACGGGUAGCCGGCCUGAGAGGGUGACCGGCCACACUGGGACUGAGAUACGGCCCAGACUCCUACGGGAGGCAGCAGUGGGGAAUAUUGCACAAUGGGCGCAAGCCUGAUGCAGCGACGCCGCGUGAGGGAUGACGGCCCUUCGGGGUUGUAAACCUCUUUCAGCAGGGACGAAGCGCAAGUGACGGGUACCUGCAGAAAGAAAGGACCGGCCCAACUACGUGCCAGCAGCCGCGGUAAUACGUAGGGGUCCCGAGCGGUGUUCCGGAAUUCCUGGGGCGUAAGAGCUCGUAGGGGGUUUGGUCGCCGUUGUUUCGUGGAAACCC